CAUUUUUAAGAAAACUACAAUACCCUAAAGUAUUAAAGGAUUUUAAAAAUCCCUUAAAACAU
rnacentral:tRNA from 1 species